UGGGGAAUAUUGCACAAUGGGCGCAAGCCUGAUGCAGCCAUGCCGCGUGUGUGAAGAAGGCCUUCGGGUUGUAAAGCACUUUCAGCGGGGAGGAAGGCGGUGAGGUUAAUAACCUCAUCGAUUGACGUUACCCGCAGAAGAAGCACCGGCUAACUCCGUGCCAGCAGCCGCGGUAAUACGGAGGGUGCAAGCGUUAAUCGGAAUUACUGGGCGUAAAGCGCACGCAGGCGGUCUGUCAAGUCGGAUGUGAAAUCCCCGGGCUCAACCUGGGAACUGCCUUCGAAACUGGCAGGCUAGAGUCUUGUAGAGGGGGGUAGAAUUCCAGGUGUAGCGGUGAAAUGCGUAGAGAUCUGGAGGAAUACCGGUGGCGAAGGCGGCCCCCUGGACAAAGACUGACGCUAAGGUGCGAAAGCGUGGGGAGCAAACAGG
rnacentral:rRNA from 1 species